AAGUGCGGCCAUAGUAGUAUUAAUGCACUGGACCAUAAGAACUCCGAAGUUCAGCGUGCUAGGCAAUAGUAGUACUAGGAUGAAUGAACUCCUAGGAAGUCCUUGUGUUGCACCCC
rnacentral:rRNA from 1 species